CAACAGACACAGACCCAUGCAGAAAAGCAGUGAGGGACAUUAGAUUAUCCAUCACUUGGGGUUGGAGCAGCAGCUAUCCAAAACCUCUUUUGAUCAUCUCUCCCAUUUGGAGUCUUCCGGUUUUUAACUUGAAGCCACUGAAGGUUCUAAAGCAUGAGAAAUGGCUUCAUUUCCAGCCUUGAUGUUCUUCCUAUUAUUUACAACAUUCCUGAAUUCCGGAUGUGAGAGUGGGAAAGUGCUUGUGUACCCAAUGGAUGGAAGCCAUUGGACUAACAUGAUCAAAAUACUGGAAGUGUUGCACUCAAAGGGCCAUCAUAUCACAGUUUUUCGCUCAUCAAACAGCUGGUACAUUUCUAAAUCCUCCCCUUAUUACACCUCCAUCACCAUCCCUCAGGAAAAGCCCCAAAACGUAGAGAGCCAAACCUUCAUGACCACUUUCUUGAGGAAUACUUUAGAGGGCCGUCAAUACCAAGGCACGCUAUGGGGACUUUUUGAGUUUUACAGAAAUUUCAGUAAAUUGCUGAAAGAAAACCAGCAGCUUGUGGCAAAUCUGGCUGCAAGCAUAAUGGAGAACAAGACUUUGGUAAAGGAACUGAACCAAACCAAGUAUGAUGUUUUUCUAACGGACCCCGUGUUUCCAGCUGGAGUGCUCUUGGCGCAUCAUCUAAAGCUUCCACUGGUGUUAAAUGUACGCUGGCUUUCAGAUGGGGAUGCUCAUUAUCCUAUAACACCUUCCCCACUGUCAUACAUCCCAGCUUUGUUCUCUCACAACACUGACAAAAUGAGCUUUUUUCAAAGAGUCAAAAAUGUAUUCUGUAAAGGCAUGUUGGUCUAUCUUUAUUAUUAUAUCUCUAACCCCCCAUACCAGGCACUGUGUGAUCGUUACUUUGAACAUAAUGUUAACGUCAUGUCUUUGAUGCAAGGAGCGGAUCUUUGGUUAAUGCGAACUGACUUUACAUUUGACUUCCCUCGCCCCACUAUGCCAAAUAUUAUCUACAUUGGAGGCUUCCAGUGUAAGCCUGCCAACCCCCUUCCAGCAGAUCUAGAGGACUUUAUGCAAAGCUCUGGGGAGCAUGGGGUGAUCCUCAUGACUCUCGGGACCUUGCUCAGUGACCUCGGCCCUAAGGUGUCAGAAAUCUUUGCUGCAGCUUUUGCAAACUUGCCACAGAAGGUCUUAUGGAGGCACAUUGGAGAAAUACCAGCCACCCUCGGGAGUAACACCAUGCUGGUCAAAUGGCUGCCUCAGAAUGAUAUCCUUGGCCAUCCUAAAACCAGGCUCUUUGUCACACACGGGGGCACCAAUGGCCUUUAUGAGGCGAUUUUUCACAGAGUGCCAAUCUUGGGUAUUCCCCUAAUCUUUGACCAGCAUGAUAACUUGGUGCGCAUGGAGGCCCAUGGCGUGGCCAAAAUCAUUGACAUAACAGCAAUGGAUGUCCAGUCUCUGACAAACUCCCUAAAGAAUCUUCUGGACCCAACAGAACCCUACAAGCAGAACAUGAUGAAACUGUCCCGGAUUUAUCGCGAUCAACCAAUAAAACCCAUGGACAAGGCUGUUUUCUGGAUAGAGUUUGUCAUGAGGCACAAGGGUGCUGGCCACCUUCACACAGAGUCAUAUAAACUGCCGUGGUAUGCCUACCAAUGUUUAGAUGUGAUGGCAGUCUUUGGAGCAGUUGGAUUGUUUAUCUUCACAUUUAUCUGGAAUUCCUGCAGAUGUAUGUUUAGAUGCCUGACCAUAAUGAAAAAGUCCAAGGUAGAAUAGAUGAUUAAUAAACACGAAAAAAUGUGUAAACUCUAAAUACUUUGAAUGCCCCUAAAUAUUACAUGUGAUGGCUAAAUACAUCUUUAAUCAAAAGAUGAAUCAAGUAUAAAAAUAAGUUAGAUUUGGUCCUUUGUUUAUUAUAAUUAGUGGGUAAUCAAUUGUAUUACAGUAUCACCCCAGUAUUCACAGGGUUUAGGGACUAGAGGGAACUGCAAAUCCGCAGAAUCUGCAAAAACAGAGAGUUUCUACCCCACCCGCCCCCGCGGCUGAAGAAUGUCCAUCACCAUCAAAAAUCCAUCAAAAAAUCAUCAAAAGCCUUUCUGUAUCUUUUCUGCUGCUUUGUAAAAAUGUAUUAAAAAAACAUUGGAAAAUUG